rnacentral:rRNA from 1 species
UACGUAGGGGGCGAGCGUUGUCCGGAUUUAUUGGGCGUAAAGAGCUCGUAGGCGGUUCGAUAAGUCGGACGUGAAAUCUCCACGCUCAACGUGGAGGGGCCGUUCGAUACUGUCGUGACUCGAGUCCGGUAGGGGAGUGUGGAAUUCCCGGUGUAGCGGUGAAAUGCGCAGAUAUCAGGAGGAACACCCGUGGCGAAGGCGGGUUGCUGGGCUGACACUGACGCUGAUGCGCGAAAGCCAGGGGAGCGAACGGG